CAAUAGCGUAUAUUUAAGUUGUUGCAGUUAAAAAGCUCGUAGUUGGAUUUCGGAUGGGAUCUGCCGGUCCGUCUUUGAGAUGUGUACUGGUAGGUCCUAUCUUGUUGUCGGGGACCAGCUCCUGGGCUUCACUGUCCGGGACUGGGAGCCGACGAAGUUACUUUGAGUAAAUUAGAGUGUUCAAAGCAAGCCUACGCUCUGAAUAUAUUAGCAUGGAAUAACACGAUAGGACUCUGGCUUAUCUUGUUGGUCUGUGAGACCAGAGUAAUGAUUAAGAGGGACAGUCGGGGACAUUCGUAUUUCAUUGUCAGAGGUGAAAUUCUUGGAUUUUUGGAAGACGAACUACUGCGAAAGCAUUUACCAAGGAUGUUUUCAUUAA
rnacentral:rRNA from 1 species